rnacentral:rRNA from 1 species
AGGGGGGGGAAGACUUGAAAGUGAAGGUUGUCGCUGGCCAGAUCUCUCUCGAGUCUGGCAUGUGCACGCCUUGCUUUUUCGUUGACCUGCCUUUCUUUCUCGUUCAAACCCCACCACACCUGUGCACCUAUUGUAGGUCCUCGAAAGGGGAUCUAUGUCUUUUUACACACACACAUAUAUAUAGUAUGGCCAUAGAAUGUAAUGAAAUCAUAUACAACUUUCAGCAACGGAUCUCUUGGCUCUCGCAUCGAUGAAGAACGCAGCGAAUUGCGAUAAGUAAUGUGAAUUGCAGAUUUUCAGUGAAUCAUCGAAUCUUUGAACGCACCUUGCGCUCCUUGGUAUUCCGAGGAGCAUGCCUGUUUGAGUGUCAUUUUCAUUCUCAACCAAGUUUGGAGUUGGGGGUCUGCUGGCGACAUCUGUCGUCAGCUCUCCUGAAAUGCAUUAGUGUGGACGAUGACGUGCACGGCGUUGGAUGUGAUAAUGAUCGUCCUGGCUGGAGCGUCGGACUAGCGUCCUUGCUUCUAAUUGUCUAUCUUGCUUUAGCUACUAGCUGGUUGACACGGCGAACGCGGGCGAGGCAGCUUAGCCAGAAACUUGACCUCAAAUCAGGUAGGACUACCCGCUGAACUUAAGCAUAUCAAAA